rnacentral:rRNA from 1 species
UACGGAGGGUGCAAGCGUUAUCCGGAUUCACUGGGUUUAAAGGGUGCGUAGGUGGAUUGGUAAGUCAGUGGUGAAAUCUCUGGGCUUAACUCAGAAACUGCCAUUGAUACUAUCAGUCUUGAAUACCGUGGAGGUCAGCGGAAUAUGUCAUGUAGCGGUGAAAUGCUUAGAUAUGACAUAGAACACCAAUUGCGAAGGCAGCUGGCUACACGAAUAUUGACACUGAGGCACGAAAGCGUGGGGAGCAAACAGG